ensembl:misc_RNA Metazoa_SRP Metazoan signal recognition particle RNA
GCUGGGUGUGGUGGCGUGCACCUGUAAUCCCAGCUACUUGGGAGGCUCAGGUAGGAGAAUCGCUUGAACCCAGGAGGCAGAGGUUGCAGUGAAGCCGAGAUCGUGCCACUGCAGUCCAGCCUGGGUGACAGAGCAAGACUCUAUCUCUCUUUUUUUUUGAUAUGGAGUCUCACUCUGUCACCAGGCUGGAGUGCAGUGGCAUGAUCUUGGCUCACUGCAAUCUCUGCCUCCUGGGUUCAAGCAAUUCUCCUGCCUC